rnacentral:rRNA from 1 species
AAGUGUACAAGGUUUCCGUAGGUGAACCUGCGGAAGGAUCAUUA